AUUUCAUUAGGUUCUUCCUAAGAAACUGAGAACAUCAAUUUGUUAGAACAAACUCCAUUUGUGAGAGAUGACUCAGAGCAUAGGUAGCCCUGGAGCUAAAGAAAAGAACAGCUUUGAUUUUUGGCAGAAUUUAGCGACGGACCAGGAGAGGAGAGAGGAAGUCAUGACAUUCUCAUGGAAUGAUAUGAAUAAAUCUGGCUAAUAUGUGAAAGAAGAAAGCCAGCUUGGGCACCAUCCGGACUCAUGGAAAGCCAUCUGGAUGUGCUGGGCAUAUGAGAAAGGGCUGCUGUUGACUCACUGGGAAACAAGCUGGUGAAUCCAUAGAACUUGUUCGCUGCCCUCAGGAAGGCCAUCAAACUUGUGUCUGGAAACCACCCAAGGUGGAGUUUGUGCUGGGGGAAGCUGGGGAGGUGCCACUUGUGCUUGAUGCCAGGACACUGCUGAAAAAAGUCACUUGUUCUGCAGGAGCUCAACUAAAUGAGCACACCUGAACAAGGAAGGAAAAAACUCUCUCCUCCAACCCCUGUAUUGACAGUGUUUCCUGCUUUACUAUCAUAGAGCAGGGAAAAAGGGUGAAUUUGGAGCUCAGAGGCAAUAAAUUGACAACUGGCACACCUGCCCA
rnacentral:lncRNA from 1 species